UGGGGAAUAUUGGACAAUGGGCGCAAGCCUGAUCCAGCAAUGCCGCGUGUGUGAAGAAGGCCUUCGGGUUGUAAAGCACUUUUAUCAGGAGCGAAACGCUGUCGGCUAAUACCCGGCGGAACUGACGGUACCUGAGGAAUAAGCACCGGCUAACUUCGGUGCCAGCAGCCGCGGUAAUACGAAGGGUGCAAGCGUUAAUCGGAAUUACUGGGCGUAAAGCGUGCGUAGGCGGUUUCUUAAGUCUGCUGUGAAAUCCCCGGGCUCAACCUGGGAAUGGCAGUGGAUACUGGGAGGCUAGAGUGUGUCAGAGGGUGGUGGAAUUCCCGGUGUAGCGGUGAAAUGCGUAGAGAUCGGGAGGAACAUCAGUGGCGAAGGCGGCCACCUGGGA
rnacentral:rRNA from 1 species